rnacentral:rRNA from 1 species
UACGGAGGGUGCGAGCGUUGUCCGGAAUCACUGGGCGUAAAGGGCGCGUAGGCGGUCUGCUAAGCGUGCGGUGAAAGCUCGGGGCUUAACUCCGAGUCGGCCGUGCGAACUGGUGGACUGGAGCACUGUAGAGGCGGGUGGAAUUCCGGGUGUAGCGGUGGAAUGCGUAGAGAUCCGGAAGAACACCGGUGGCGAAGGCGGCCCGCUGGGCAGUGGCUGACGCUGAGGCGCGACAGCGUGGGGAGCAAAC